CUCCGCCCGGAGAAUUCCCGGCCCCCCUCCUGCCCUCCGGCAGGCUCGCUGCACUCUGUGGGGCACUGGGCCGGUGGCCUUGCAUCACCCUUCUCAACACUACCAGGUUGCGCCCCUUCCCUGGAGCAGGGACCGCGUCGCAGCCGCCUUCGGGGGAUCCUCGGCGGGGCCGAACACAGGACGUUGAGGCUGCGAAGUGGAGUGGCUGGCGGUGACCUAAGUCCCACGCCAGCGCUCUUACCCACCACGCAAGCUCCGUCAAUGAAUUAAAAGGCUGCGUGUUUAUCAAGCAGGCGGCAGGAAUCUCUGCACCGAAUGCUUCACGUGCAUCACGUUAUUUCACUCUCACCUGAGCCCGUGAGGUACGGCUUCCUCUGACCUGUUUCACAUAAGAAGGACCCAAGAGUUGGACUCUUCGGCUGGCCAGGAUCUCAUCACCGGCAUGUGGCACAGACUUUUACUUUCCACCAAUACAGAGAGCAAAACUCUGGGGAGAAAACUGAAGAUACACAACUAGUACUUGUAAGCCUUUUCAGUACACACAGACUGUUCAAACUGUUGAAGAAAUACAUUUCCAAGAUCUCCUGUAAAUGCUUCCCUUGCAAUGGAAGAUAAGCAAGUGCAAUGAUCAGAUGCUUUGUAAUUCACCUUUCCCAGUCUUCACGCCUCCCUGUCUAGGGGGCUGUGAAAACAUCGGAUCCCGUCUCUGUCACGUUUGUGACGUGUCUUUGGCCACCUAUGUAUUUAUGUUGGACAAAGCAAGUGGAGAAGACAGUGAAGGCUGAGAAGGGGAGGGAAGGCAGUGACCUCGAGGAGUAUUCGGAGACUUGGCAGUGGUAAUGUGCUGGGCAAAGAUCUCAGAUGGGCAUGGAUAACAUUCUGAGAGAUGUAUGGAGAGUACCCGGGUUUUCUUUCUCUAACGGUACAGUCCUGUAUUUUCUGCCUUGGCUAGACUUGGGAAAGGGGGAGUAGGGGUGGCAGCCCAGGAACUUCAUUUGCACCAGCCUUGGUUUCCCCAUUUAUAAAAGGAGGAAUUAAAAAGCCUAGCUCAAAGGGUUACUGGGAAAACUGAGCUUGCUAAAGUAUGGAAAUCCCUGGAAACUCCUCCUGACUACUCAUUAAUCUGGCAAAUGUUUCUCGGGACUUUACAUGUCCUCGAUUCCCCUAGCACUUAGUUGGUGUUUCUUGCCCCUACCUUUACAUGAAUGCUCUCCACUGCUUUUCCUCAAUGCUUACAAUGUCUUUAGGAAAAGCAUUGUCAUGACCUGUUUUAUAGGGGAGUAUUUUACAGCUAGAAAUCAGUGAAGAAAUACAGUCCCAUGCAUUAAUUUCUUCUUUAAGAAAAUCUAGCCUGUAAAAAAAAAAUGCCUUUAUAUUACAAUACAGGCAUAGCGGACAAGCCUGUAACCCCUGCACUCUCAGUGGCUGAAGCUGGAGGAUCACAAGUUUGAGCCCCGCUGAGAAAUAUAGUGGCUUAGUAAGACACUCAAAAAUAUUUUUUCUUAAAUCUCUGCCCUCCUUACACUGGCUGUUUUUCCAAGGAAAAUGAAUGAGUGGAUGGAUGGAUGGAUGAGGGAGUCGAUGUUUUUGGCCUCCAGAGCCUCUCAGAGGGAAUCUCCAGAAAUGCUCACUUCAGAGCCCUCGCUAGGGGGCACUGGUGAGCUGGGCAGGGAAGACAUGCUGACUGCAGCCCAUUGACUUCUAAGGGGCGUCAACAACCUGGCCCUGCCCGUGUGUGUCUGCCUGCCUGCCUGAAAAUAUCUCCUCUAUCUAUCUAUUUUGUCCUAUACUUAAAGGCACUCCCUUUGAGUCAAGUCCAAAGUCUCCAUAAAUAUAUUAUUAAAGCAUAUAUUUUGACAUUAAUGAGUUGAUAAAAUUAGCUGACCCUUUGUCCCUUUGGGCCCUUGAGAGCUCUUUAUUUUUCUUUCCAUGCCAGAGAUUGAGCCAGGGCUACUCCCUGAGGAGCUACACCCCCAGCUCACGAUCCACAGGAUAGGAAGAAGAGGCUGUGAUCUGAGGACACAGCCACGUCAGAGUUUUCAAAGUCCUCCUUGAACACCACCCCAUUUUCACUAUUUUUGCCCCAGAGUUUAUUUCCCUGGUACUGAAUUAGCCUCAUUUAUAUGGAAGAGUGCAGACCCAGGGAUGAGCUCCGUCUUGCUGGCCUCAGAGAAGAGCUUGUCUUCAUUUCUUUUAAGGUUCACCAUGAAACUAUGAAUUAGGUGGACUCCAGAUUCUUUUCAGCUCAUUGUGUCAUUUUAUCGCUGGAGCCACCACAUCCUGUUUCUCCUAUCUCCUACAUCUUGGUUUUACUACCUGAGGAAGCCAGUGGUACAACUGACAUCUGGGGAAUGUUCCAGAAGGACAUAAAGCCAGGAGAGAGACAGGCAAGGAAAGAGGUGAGCAAGAGCAAGGCGCACAGAAGGUGGCAGAGCGCAGCCUGGCCAUAUGGAACUCCUCGGUGUUUGCCUCACAAGCAGCCUUCCCUCCCCACAGGGCCUACUUCAGCAGAGCUCCAAAGAAGCCUGGAGUCCCUUAGUCCCUGAAGGGGAAGGCCCUGAACACCUGCAAAAUGAUUUACAUCUUCAGCAUUCGAGUCCUAACCAAGGUAUACUGUAGCCUUUUUCUUUUCAUCUGAUCAAAUGUCCACAGAUAUCUUCUCUUGAUGCUUCAGAGCUUCCACACCAGAAGGGAACACAGCACCAAAGAGUGCAAACUGGACUUGGAGCGGGUGCAGCAGCCUUCAAGCGUCCCAGCAGCUCAGCCAUGCCCAGCUCAGGCCAGGCCACUGUUGUGCCAAAAUGGGGCCCAGGCACGUCAGGGUAGUGUUUUGUUUUUAUUUUUGGCGUGGGGAAGACAUCUGGGCAAUUUUUGUGCUAUCUCUCAAUUUGUAAAAGCUGGUAGUUGACCAAAACACAAACAAAAUAAAUCUGAGGAACUCUUGUGCUGGCUCUCCCUUGCAGUGCAGCUGUGGCUGUGUGACUUGGUUUACAGCCUGGUGCACCUGGUCCUUUGAGGGGAACUGCCCAGGCAUUUGGAAGUUUUGUCCUCAACUCUUUCCAAGGCAGAGGCCCCCUGGAAGUUUUGGGAGCUGUAUAUAAGGGACUCUCUGUCUCUGUGGCUUCCGGACACUAGGCCAUCUGAGCCAGGUAUGCACCCUGAAUAAAGUCCUCCUGUUUCUGUCUGUGAGUCUCUCCAGUCUCUUAGAUUUCUGCAGCAUGACCAAAUAUUUCGGGUCAUACUGGCUCAACUGUGUUUGCAAAAACAUGAUUUUUCUGCCUUCUUCUUGGAUUUCACUGAAAUCUAAUUUUAAAAAGGUUUUGCAUAAUAUGUUGAAAGCUAUUUCAUGUCUCUUUGAGAUUAUAAAAUAGCCCCUAAACACAAACAAACAAAUAAACAAAAACUUAGUUUUAUGCUAGUCAGUCUUCAGCCUUCUGCUCAGCACAAAGAAUGAAAUGCUAGAUUUCUAAGCUACGAUUCUUCUUUCUUUUCAUCCAUAUUUCUUAGCUGGUAAUUUUGUUUUUCAAACUCUCACCUCCAACUUAUUCUACAAAGGUUCACGAGGAAGAGUGGGAUUAUAUUUCAAGGGGAAAUGAGUCAUAUUUCUUCCUUUCCUUUAUAAUUAAUUAUAUGAAAGUAUCUAUCAAAUAUAACAUAUAUAAGUUAAUUAUGCCAAGUAAAUUGUAGUUCUCUUUUACACUUUGUGUAAACCAUAACCUUACUUGUUAAAAUAAAAGUUGCUUUUUUGGGAC